rnacentral:rRNA from 1 species
GAUGAACGCUGGCGGCGUGCCUAAUACAUGCAAGUCGAGCGAACAGACGAGGAGCUUGCUCCUCUGACGUUAGCGGCGGACGGGUGAGUAACACGUGGAUAACCUACCUAUAAGACUGGGAUAACUUCGGGAAACCGGAGCUAAUACCGGAUAACAUGUUGAACCGCAUGGUUCAACAGUGAAAGACGGUCUUGCUGUCACUUAUAGAUGGAUCCGCGCCGCAUUAGCUAGUUGGUAAGGUAACGGCUUACCAAGGCAACGAUGCGUAGCUGACCUGAGAGGGUGAUCGGCCACACUGGAACUGAGACACGGUCCAGACUCCUACGGGAGGCAGCAGUGGGGAAUCUUCCGCAAUGGGCGAAAGCCUGACGGAGCAACGCCGCGUGAGUGAAGAAGGUCUUCGGAUCGUAAAACUCUGUUAUUAGGGAAGAAAAAAUGUGUAAGUAACUAUGCACGUCUUGACGGUACCUAAUCAGAAAGCCACGGCUAACUACGUG